UACGUAGGGGGCAAGCGUUGUCCGGAUUUAUUGGGCGUAAAGAGCGUGUAGGCGGCCAGAUAGGUCAGCUGUGAAAACUCGAGGCUCAACCUCGAGAUGUCGGCUGAAACCAUCUGGCUAGAGUCCGGAAGAGGAGAAUGGAAUUCCCGGUGUAGCGGUGAAAUGCGCAGAUAUCGGGAAGAACACCCGUGGCGAAGGCGGUUCUCUGGGACGGUACUGACGCUGAGACGCGAAAGCGUGGGGAGCAAACAGG
rnacentral:rRNA from 1 species